GACGAACCGAGCGAACGUUGUUCGGAAUCACUGGGCUUAAAGGGCGCGUAGGCGGGCUGUCAAGUCGGUGGUGAAAUCUUUCGGCUCAACCGGAAAAUCGCCUUCGAUACUGGCGGCCUUGAGGGAGGUAGGGGCAUGCGGAACUUCCGGUGGAGCGGUGAAAUGCGUAGAUAUCGGAAGGAACACCGAUGGCGAAAGCAGCGUGCUGGACCUUUUCUGACGCUGAGGCGCGAAAGCCAGGGGAGCAAAGCGGG
rnacentral:rRNA from 1 species